rnacentral:rRNA from 1 species
AUAUUGCACAAUGGGCGAAAGCCUGAUGCAGCAACGCCGCGUGAGGGAUGACGGCCUUCGGGUUGUAAACCUCCUUUAGUAGGGAAGAAGCGAAAGUGACGGUACCUGCAGAAAAAGCACCGGCUAACUACGUGCCAGCAGCCGCGGUAAUACGUAGGGUGCAAGCGUUGUCCGGAAUUAUUGGGCGUAAAGAGCUCGUAGGCGGUUUGUCGCGUCUGCUGUGAAAUCCCGAGGCUCAACCUCGGGCUUGCAGUGGGUACGGGCAGACUAGAGUGCGGUAGGGGAGAUUGGAAUUCCUGGUGUAGCGGUGGAAUGCGCAGAUAUCAGGAGGAACACCGAUGGCGAAGGCAGAUCUCUGGGCCGUAACUGACGCUGAGGAGCGAAAGCGUGGGGAGCGAACAGG